rnacentral:rRNA from 1 species
UUACUAGAGUAGCACUCGCAUAUCAAUAAGCGGAGGAAAAGAAACUAACAAGGAUUCCCCUAGUAACGGCGAGUGAAGCGGGAAGAGCUCAAAUUUGAAAUCUUAAAGGGUUUCCCUUUACGAAUUGUAGUUUAAAGAAGUGUUUUCUGUUGAGGUUUUGGUAAAAGUUCUUUGGAAUAGGACAUCAUAGAGGGUGAGAAUCCCGUAUUUGACCUUUACUUUCAACUUUGUGAUACACUUUCAAAGAGUCGGAUUGUUUGGGAAUGCAGUCCAAAAUGGGUGGUAAAUUUCAUCUAAAGCUAAAUAUUGGCGAGAGACCGAUAGCGAACAAGUACCGUGAGGGAAAGAUGAAAAGAACUUUGAAAAGAGAGUUAAACAGUACGUGAAAUUGUCAAAAGGGAAGCGUUUGACACCAGUGUUGUUUUUCUGAAAAUCAAUUAAAGAACUGUUUAUGCUAAGCUGUUUAGACUUUAUCAGCUAUCUGUUUAGUUUUGAGCUUUUCUUUAAUGCACUUUUCAGUUAACAAGUCAACAUCAAUUUCUUUUGCUGUAAAAAAGCUAGAGGAAGGUGGCUUGAGAUUCGUCUUAAGUGUUUAUAGCCUCUUGCCUAUGCAGUCGGAGAGAUUGAGGUCUGCAGCGUAGAUCCUUCGGGGCUAAAUGCAUUUGUGCCUAAGUUAUAGCAUUUUAUAGACAACUUGUUGACUAUGAUUUGUCUUGUAGCUUACUCGCUUAUGUUAUUUUACCUACGCUUAGGAUGUUGAACUACUGAGACAUAGA